AACUGGUUGAGAGGUGGCACCACUCUCCUGAUGAGUCCAAGGCAGGAUGAAACCAGUG
rnacentral:sRNA from 1 species